rnacentral:lncRNA from 10 species
UACGUAUAUUUUUAUGUUUUCAACCACAUUCUGAAUAAGAAAUUGUGGCUACAUGCAGAAGUAGAACCAGAUUUAAGGUAGUACAUUUGAAGCUUUACUAUUUGGAGGGGCUCUCUCUAGGAAAAAAAGAAUUUACAAAUACAAAAUUAGAUAUGAAAGUGAAUACUUAUUUAAAACGAGACAAUUCAAGACAAAGUGUAAAUUUUAAACAGUUGUUACAUACUGACUGCUUCGGCUAUCUACUGCUGUACAAUGAAUCACCCAAAACUUAGUGACUCAAAACAACAAUAAUUUUAUUAUCAUCACCCACAGGUCUGGGGCGUUGCUUGAACUCAGCUGGGCAGCCCUUGCUCAGGGUUUCUUAUGAAGUUGUAAUCAGAUGGUAACUGCGGCUGGCAUCAUCUUGCUGCCACUCACGUGUCUGGAGUUGUUGCUGACUGUGGGCUGGGACCUCUGCUGAGGCUGGUGGCUGGAACAUUUAUAUGUGACCACUCCACGUGGUCUUUCCAUUUCCUCAUGGCAUGGUGGCAGGGCCUGAAGAAAAUCAGGUGAACACUGUGUCUCCUUUUACAAACCAGCCUUGGCAGUCAGAUAGCAUCUAUAUUAAUUUCACACUGAUGGUCUAGGAAAUUACCACAAAUUUAGGGAUUUAAAACAACAAAUGUUUAUCAUAUUACAGUUCUGGAGGUCAGAAGUUCAAAAUGGGUCUCACUGGGCUAAAAUCAAGGUGUCAGCAGGGCUGCAGUCCUUCUGAAGGCUCUAGAGAGUAUUCAUUUUCUUGCCUUUUCCACCAUCUAGAGGCCACCUGCGUUCCUUGGCUUGUGGCUCUUCCUCCAUCUUUAAAGCCGGCAUCAUGGCAUCUCCAGAUCUCUCUUGACUCUGACUCUUCUGCCUCCCACUUCCAGCUAUAAGGACCUUAGUGAUUACAUUGGGCCCACCUGAAUAGUCCAGUAUAGUCUCACCAUCUCAACGUCAGCUGGUGCUUGCUUCAGCAUCACAUAUAUUAAAAUUGUUUUUUUGUUGUUUUUUUUGUGUGUGGGGGGGGUUGUUUGUUGUUUGUUUGUUUGUUUUGAGAUGGAGUCUUACUCUGUCACCCAGGCUGGAGUGCAGUGGCACGAUCUCGGCUCACUGCAACCUCUGCCUCCUGGGUUCAAGGGAUUCUCCUGCCUCAGCCUCCCAAGUAGCUGGGAUUAUAGGUGUGCACCACCACGCCCAGCUAAUUUUUGUAUUUUUGGCAGAGACAGGGUUUUGCCCUCUUGGCCAGGCUGGUCUUGAACUCCUGACUUCAGGUGAUCUGCCCGCUUCAGCCUCCCAAAGUACUGAGAUUACAGGCGUGAGCCACCACGCCUGGCCACAUAUAUUAAAAUUGGAAUGUUACAGAGAAGAUUAGCAUGGCCCCCAUGCAAGGAUGACAGGCAAAUUUAUGAAGUGUUCCGUAUUUUUAAGAAAAAGAAAAGUUUGGGCAUGGUGGCUCAUGUCUGUAAUCCCUGCACUUUGGGAGGCCGAGAUGGGAGGAUUGCCUGAGCCCAGGGCUUCUAGACCAGCCUGGGCAACAUGGCAAGACGUUUUCUCUACAAAAAUUUUAAAAAUUAGCCAAGCAUGGUGGCAUGCACUUGUAGUCUCAGCUUGGGAGGCUGAGGUGGGAGUAUCACUUGAGUCCAGGUCAAGGUUGCAGUGAGCCAUGUUCACACCACUGCACUCUAGGCUGGGUGACAGAGAAAGACCCUGUCUCAAAAAAAAAGAAAAGAAAAGAAAAGAAAAGAAAAAAAAGGUCAGCAGAUUUGCAACCUUAAUUCCAUCUUGCUAUAUUACAUAACAUAUUCACAGCUGGUGAGGAAUAGGAUGUGGACAUUUUUGAGGGACCUUUAUUCUGUCAACUACAACAUCCUUUCAGCCACAGUCACAUCUACUCAGGUUCAAAGACAGGGAACGUAGAUUCCACUUCUCAAUGAGGGAUGUGUCAAUCACCUUAUAACAAGAGCAUGUGGGAUAGGAGAUACUGUGAUGACUGUCUCUGGAAAAUAGUCUUUUACAUUCACAAACAUAAAAAAUCUGGAAAAUCCCAUAAUAUUUUUUAUUAAUAAACUGCCUGACAUAUGGCUGUACAACUUUUUACCAAUAUUUUUGGCUGUAUACUCUCUGAUCACCUCUUCAUAUGAUAAUAAUAUAUUAAUAUAAUUUUCUGAAGAGAACUUUUUUUAAAUUUAGUUUUUCCUUUAAUAUGGCUAAUCAAAUUUUGUUUUUAAAAAAUUGUUGCUGUUUUAAAAUGUUUAUUUCAGUUUUAUAAUUCAUUAUUAAUACCAUAGUAUAUGUUAUGGUUGAUAUUAGAUUUGGGAAAAUCUUUACCAAGUUUUUUUCUGCGUACAAGCUAUAAAAAAUCCAGGAUACCAGUGAAAACGGAUAGACUAAUUAUUUAGCUUCUCAUCUGUUUCUUCAUUGCAGAAGCAUAUUUUGAGGUUUAUGUCAUCUUUGUCAAUGUCAGUAUUUUGUAUCAAAUCAGCAAGAAAUUUCUAUAUUUUGUAGGAUUUUAUGAUUCCUUCCUCUUAAUAGAGUAUCAAACAAUCCAAGACUUAUCCAUUACUUCUAAAAAUUUCUCUUUUCCCUGUAAGGAAGCACUGGUUUUAGAAUGAUCUGGAAAAAGUGUUAUACAUAGUUUGCUUCUUCGUAUCUGAACAAGAAGCAAUGUCAUCAUGCAUUUUUAUCACUUUUAUUUCAUAUCCCAUUAACUUUUUAUGUAAAUUUUCUCUUAGUUCUUCAAUAAAAGCACUUUUAGAUAACAAAACAGAGCACCUUUCUUUUAUAUCCAAAUUAGGUUUUUAUAAUUCCUCAUUGUUUUAUUGGAACAAUCCAAAAUGUGUUUUUAAAUUUUAGUUAAAUGAUAUGUUUUCAACUCAACUUCCCCUUAGAUCCCCAAAAUGCUGGUGGACACUCAAGCACCUCUAAAUUCAAGGGAAAAUGAUACAGUGAAAUUUGACAUGGAGAAAGAUAGCAGCCUUAACUGAUUGUAAUUAAAAUCACUUACUUUCACAAAACUCAAAAAAAUAUAUAUGUGAACUGUAUCAGUCAGGGUUCUCCAGAGAAACAAAGCCAAUAGGAUAUAUAUAGAUAUAGUCA